UCUGAUUUUUCGGUGAAAAUUCUUUUCUUUAUAAAGAUUUUCCGGGAAAUUAUCGGGAUUCGUCCUGAAGUUUCACUGUGGUUCUUGGAACGAGAUGUUGACUGUGUUCCCUCCUUCCAGAUCCAACCGAAUACCCUUGAGAUGGUGGACCUUGUUGUCUCUUUUCUCAUUCUUCAGGUGUGGAUUUUCCGCCCAAGUUUUGGCUCGUGUGGAACUCAAUGUCUUUUCCAAGAGUUUAAUUUUGUUAACUCUUUCCUUUCUAGAUUCCUCUGCCAUAUUAUCCUGCAACUUUAUUUUUGUAUUUUAAUUUCUUCUUCAUAAGCAGUUAGUUCGAUUAUGUUGGGCGCCAUAAAUAUAUACCAACCCUCCCAUUGAAAGACAGGGUGGUUAUAUUUAAAAUGAUUUUGUGGUGUUUUAUUUUAUAAUUAAUUUUUGUUCGUGAAAUAUUAAAAGAAAAUUUGAAACUAAAAUUAUAAGUGACCCAUGAAAUAUUGAACAUUGUUUUUUCACCUUUGAAACGAAUCGAUUCUUCUAAAGAGCUCUCGCGAGUAAAAAUUCCUCAAAAAUUGUGAAAAAGACUUUAAAAAUAUAAAAAACUAUUAAAAUAAGUGAAUUAGUGAAAGACGUGAUACAUGCAAUUAGUGGUGAGUCUACAUUUUUAUUACAAUUUUUAUAAAUAAUUAAGUUUUUAAUCUUUGUGUUUGUAUAAUUUAUUAUACACAUAAUUUGUUAUUUUUGCAAUCGGAGGUUAGAGAUAUCUCAUAUGACUUACGUAUAACGUGUCAUAAGACAUGUUAAUAAGUAUGUUUUAUGGAUUUUAUCAAUUUUAUGCAAAAAUUUAUGUUUUAGAGAUGAAAUUCUAUUUUCUUGACCUUUAUAUAAGACUUUUUGAUGCAUUUAUAUAGUUUUUCUCCUUUUUCUGAAAGAAAAUUUGGAAAAAUAAAAAUUAUGUGCAAAAUUGGUGUUUCCGCAAAAUUUCGGCACGGCGCUAGUGUUUGUGAAAAAAAAGUGCAAAAAAGGUGAAACGCUGAUGCUGUGAAGGCCCUAUGGAUAUGAUGUGCGCGGCCGUAAAAUAUUAAAACAAAAAAAAAUCACAAUUUUUUGUGGAAAUUGGCAAUGUAAGUAUGUUUUUCUUUUAUUAUCUUGUAUAUAAUAAGAUGAUUGUGUGAUGGAAGAUAAACUGAUAAGAGAAGAAGCCAGAAUCGACCACUGAUGCCAGUUGUGAAGGAAGCAACAACGGUGAAGGUGCAAACAGGUGUCUUUCACUGUGUUAUCACGAGAAUGGCAACGACAAUUGAAGAAAACCGCCAGGAAGACAAUUUUCUAUACCAUCGUGUGAGGGAUGUCAACAUUCGAUGUGACCUUGUGGAACAGAACUUCGGCAUGACAAAGUUGCAGGACAUCUAGGGGAAGGAGCAACGCGGUGGUAUUAAAGAUGCCAUUGCAGGGCUGCGGGAACUCAAGGAGGAUGACAAGAAGGAAUUAACGGAUCUCCUUGAUUGUCAUUUCUGAUCCGGAGAAGCAGCCAAUUAAAUCAGUGUCCCGGAAGACAAACAAGAGACGCUUCCAGAGCAGAUAAACUUUGAGGAUUUCACGGUGACGCGUAAUGCUGUACGAGAAUUUCAAUCCGUCAGUAAGGUGAAAAAAGAAGGUCAAGAGCAGAAGCCGGAGCAACAGAAGCAGCAAGUUGAGGAAGGUGGUGAACCCAAUAAGGUGGAGAAAGCUGCUCAGGAGACAGUUGAAACGCCUUCUAUGCCGGAGACGCAGGAAGAGAAGAAGCCAGAAUCGACCACAGAUGCCAGUUGUGAAGAAAGCAACAACGGUGCACCGUGUGCGUGAAUAGAUGCAUGAAUUUUCACGUCGGUACCACCACGUGAAAGGGUGACGCGUAAUGCUGUACGAGAAUUUCAAUCCGUCAGUAAGGUGAAAAAAGAAGGUCAAGAGCAGAAGCCGGAGCAACAGAAGCAGCAAGUUGAGGAAGGUGGUGAACCCAAUAAGGUGGAGAAAGCUGCUCAGGAGACAGUUGAAACGCCUUCUAUGCCGGAGACGCAGGAAGAGAAGAAGCCAGAAUCGACCACAGAUGCCAGUUGUGAAGAAAGCAACAACGGUGCACCGUGUGCGUGAAUAGAUGCAUGAAUUUUCACGUCGGUACCACCACGUGAAAGGGUGACGCGUAAUGCUGUACGAGAAUUUCAAUCCGUCAGUAAGGUGAAAAAAGAAGGUCAAGAGCAGAAGCCGGAGCAACAGAAGCAGCAAGUUGAGGAAGGUGGUGAACCCAAUAAGGUGGAGAAAGCUGCUCAGGAGACAGUUGAAACGCCUUCUAUGCCGGAGACGCAGGAAGAGAAGAAGCCAGAAUCGACCACAGAUGCCAGUUGUGAAGAAAGCAACAACGGUGCACCGUGUGCGUGAAUAGAUGCAUGAAUUUUCACGUCGAUACCACCACGUGAAAGAUCUUCCAGGAGACAGUUGAAACGCCUUCUAUGCCGGAGACGCAGGAAGAGAAGAAGCCAGAAUCAACCACAGAUGCCAGUUGUGAAGAAAGCAACAACGGUGAAAGUGCGAACAGUUGUUUUCCACUGUGUUAUCACGAGAAUGGCAACGACAAUUGAAGAGAUGUUCCAGGAAGACAAUUUUCUAUACCAUCAUGUGAGGGAUGUCAACAUUCGAUGUGACCUUGCGGAACAGAACUUCGGCAUGACAAAGUUGCAGGACAUCUAGGGGAAGGAGCAACGCGGUGGUAUUAAAGAUGCCAUUGCAGGGCUGCGGGAACUCAAGGAGGAUGACAAGAAGGAAUUAACGGAUCUCCUUGAUUGUCAUUUCUGAUCCGGAGAAGCAGCCAAUUAAAUCAGUGUCCCGGAAGACAAACAAGAGACGCUUCCAGAGCAGAUAAACUUUGAGGAUUUCACGGUGAUGCGUAAUGCUGUACGAGAAUUUCAAUCCGUCAGUAAGGUGAAAAAAAAAGGUCAAGAGCAGAAGCCGGAGCAACAGAAGCAGCAAGUUGAGGAAGGUGGUGAACCCAAUAAGGUGGAGAAAGCUGCUCAGGAGACAGUUGAAACGCCUUCAAUGCCGGAGACGCAGGAAGAGAAGAAGUCAGAAUCGACCACAGAUGCCAGUUGUGAAGAAAGCAACAACGGUGCACCGUGUGCGUGAAUAGAUGCAUGAAUUUUCACGUCGGUACCACCACGUGAAAGGGUGACGCGUAAUGCUGUACGAGAAUUUCAAUCCGUCAGUAAGGUGAAAAAAGAAGGUCAAGAGCAGAAGCCGGAGCAACAGAAGCAGCAAGUUGAGGAAGGUGGUGAACCCAAUAAGGUGGAGAAAGCUGCUCAGGAGACAGUUGAAACGCCUUCUAUGCCGGAGACGCAGGAAGAGAAGAAGUCAGAAUCGACCACAGAUGCCAGUUGUGAAGAAAGCAACAACGGUGCACCGUGUGCGUGAAUAGAUGCAUGAAUUUUCACGUCGGUACCACCACGUGAAAGGGUGACGCGUAAUGCUGUACGAGAAUUUCAAUCCGUCAGUAAGGUGAAAAAAGAAGGUCAAGAGCAGAAGCCGGAACAACAGAAGCAGCAAGUUGAGGAAGGUGGUGAACCCAAUAAGGUGGAGAAAGCUGCUCAGGAGACAGUUGAAACGCCUUCUAUGCCGGAGACGCAGGAAGAGAAGAAGCCAGAAUCGACCACAGAUGCCAGUUGUGAAGAAAGCAACAACGGUGCACCGUGUGCGUGAAUAGAUGCAUAAAUUUUCACGUCGGUACCACCACGUGAAAGGGUGACGCGUAAUGCUGUACGAGAAUUUCAAUCCGUCAGUAAGGUGAAAAAAGAAGGUCAAGAGCAGAAGCCGGAGCAACAGAAGCAGCAAGUUGAGGAAGGUGGUGAACCCAAUAAGGUGGAGAAAGCUGCUCAGGAGACAGUUGAAACGCCUUCUAUGCCGGAGACGCAGGAAGAGAAGAAGCCAGAAUCGACCACAGAUGCCAGUUGUGAAGAAAGCAACAACGGUGCACCGUGUGCGUGAAUAGAUGCAUAAAUUUUCACGUCGGUACCACCACGUGAAAGGGUGACGCGUAAUGCUGUACGAGAAUUUCAAUCCGUCAGUAAGGUGAAAAAAGAAGGUCAAGAGCAGAAGCCGGAGCAACAGAAGCAGCAAGUUGAGGAAGGUGGUGAACCCAAUAAGGUGGAGAAAGCUGCUCAGGAGACAGUUGAAACGCCUUCUAUGCCGGAGACGCAGGAAGAGAAGAAGCCAGAAUCGACCACAGAUGCCAGUUGUGAAGAAAGCAACAACGGUGCACCGUGUGCGUGAAUAGAUGCAUAAAUUUUCACGUCGGUACCACCACGUGAAAGGGUGACGCGUAAUGCUGUACGAGAAUUUCAAUCCGUCAGUAAGGUGAAAAAAGAAGGUCAAGAGCAGAAGCCGGAGCAACAGAAGCAGCAAGUUGAGGAAGGUGGUGAACCCAAUAAGGUGGAGAAAGCUGCUCAGGAGACAGUUGAAACGCCUUCUAUGCCGGAGACGCAGGAAGAGAAGAAGCCAGAAUCGACCACAGAUGCCAGUUGUGAAGAAAGCAACAACGGUGCACCGUGUGCGUGAAUAGAUGCAUAAAUUUUCACGUCGGUACCACCACGUGAAAGGGUGACGCGUAAUGCUGUACGAGAAUUUCAAUCCGUCAGUAAGGUGAAAAAAGAAGGUCAAGAGCAGAAGCCGGAGCAACAGAAGCAGCAAGUUGAGGAAGGUGGUGAACCCAAUAAGGUGGAGAAAGCUGCUCAGGAGACAGUUGAAACGCCUUCUAUGCCGGAGACGCAGGAAGAGAAGAAGCCAGAAUCGACCACAGAUGCCAGUUGUGAAGAAAGCAACAACGGUGCACCGUGUGCGUGAAUAGAUGCAUAAAUUUUCACGUCGGUACCACCACGUGAAAGGGUGACGCGUAAUGCUGUACGAGAAUUUCAAUCCGUCAGUAAGGUGAAAAAAGAAGGUCAAGAGCAGAAGCCGGAGCAACAGAAGCAGCAAGUUGAGGAAGGUGGUGAACCCAAUAAGGUGGAGAAAGCUGCUCAGGAGACAGUUGAAACGCCUUCUAUGCCGGAGACGCAGGAAGAGAAGAAGCCAGAAUCGACCACAGAUGCCAGUUGUGAAGAAAGCAACAACGGUGCACCGUGUGCGUGAAUAGAUGCAUAAAUUUUCACGUCGGUACCACCACGUGAAAGGGUGACGCGUAAUGCUGUACGAGAAUUUCAAUCCGUCAGUAAGGUGAAAAAAGAAGGUCAAGAGCAGAAGCCGGAGCAACAGAAGCAGCAAGUUGAGGAAGGUGGUGAACCCAAUAAGGUGGAGAAAGCUGCUCAGGAGACAGUUGAAACGCCUUCUAUGCCGGAGACGCAGGAAGAGAAGAAGCCAGAAUCGACCACAGAUGCCAGUUGUGAAGAAAGCAACAACGGUGCACCGUGUGCGUGAAUAGAUGCAUAAAUUUUCACGUCGGUACCACCACGUGAAAGGGUGACGCGUAAUGCUGUACGAGAAUUUCAAUCCGUCAGUAAGGUGAAAAAAGAAGGUCAAGAGCAGAAGCCGGAACAACAGAAGCAGCAAGUUGAGGAAGGUGGUGAACCCAAUAAGGUGGAGAAAGCUGCUCAGGAGACAGUUGAAACGCCUUCUAUGCCGGAGACGCAGGAAGAGAAGAAGCCAGAAUCGACCACAGAUGCCAGUUGUGAAGAAAGCAACAACGGUGCACCGUGUGCGUGAAUAGAUGCAUGAAUUUUCACGUCGGUACCACCACGUGAAAGGGUGACGCGUAAUGCUGUACGAGAAUUUCAAUCCGUCAGUAAGGUGAAAAAAGAAGGUCAAGAGCAGAAGCCGGAGCAACAGAAGCAGCAAGUUGAGGAAGGUGGUGAACCCAAUAAGGUGGAGAAAGCUGCUCAGGAGACAGUUGAAACGCCUUCUAUGCCGGAGACGCAGGAAGAGAAGAAGCCAGAAUCGACCACAGAUGCCAGUUGUGAAGAAAGCAACAACGGUGCACCGUGUGCGUGAAUAGAUGCAUAAAUUUUCACGUCGGUACCACCACGUGAAAGGGUGACGCGUAAUGCUGUACGAGAAUUUCAAUCCGUCAGUAAGGUGAAAAAAGAAGGUCAAGAGCAGAAGCCGGAGCAACAGAAGCAGCAAGUUGAGGAAGGUGGUGAACCCAAUAAGGUGGAGAAAGCUGCUCAGGAGACAGUUGAAACGCCUUCUAUGCCGGAGACGCAGGAAGAGAAGAAGCCAGAAUCGACCACAGAUGCCAGUUGUGAAGAAAGCAACAACGGUGCACCGUGUGCGUGAAUAGAUGCAUAAAUUUUCACGUCGGUACCACCACGUGAAAGGGUGACGCGUAAUGCUGUACGAGAAUUUCAAUCCGUCAGUAAGGUGAAAAAAGAAGGUCAAGAGCAGAAGCCGGAGCAACAGAAGCAGCAAGUUGAGGAAGGUGGUGAACCCAAUAAGGUGGAGAAAGCUGCUCAGGAGACAGUUGAAACGCCUUCUAUGCCGGAGACGCAGGAAGAGAAGAAGCCAGAAUCGACCACAGAUGCCAGUUGUGAAGAAAGCAACAACGGUGCACCGUGUGCGUGAAUAGAUGCAUAAAUUUUCACGUCGGUACCACCACGUGAAAGGGUGACGCGUAAUGCUGUACGAGAAUUUCAAUCCGUCAGUAAGGUGAAAAAAGAAGGUCAAGAGCAGAAGCCGGAGCAACAGAAGCAGCAAGUUGAGGAAGGUGGUGAACCCAAUAAGGUGGAGAAAGCUGCUCAGGAGACAGUUGAAACGCCUUCUAUGCCGGAGACGCAGGAAGAGAAGAAGCCAGAAUCGACCACAGAUGCCAGUUGUGAAGAAAGCAAC